rnacentral:tRNA from 1 species
UGGCUCAGUGGUAGAGCAUCUGCUUGGAAUGCAGAAGGUCCCAGGUUCAAUCCCUGGCAUCUAAA